UUGACAGACUGUCCAGUGCCCACGAUCAAGAAAUAAAUCUGGCUGACUUCUUGGGUCUGGGGAUACUAUUAGCGCCUCAUGCCAGGAUUUGCCACCCUUGCAGCCUCCCUCACAGACCUUGUAAAAAAUGGAUGGCCAAGGAUGGUCCAGUGGUUGGAGGCCUGCGACAGGGUAUAUAAACCUCACACUAGCAUGGAAGGGGUUAAGGAGCGGCUUUGGGCUAGAGUGGCCCUACCCCACCACACCUGAAAAUCAAGCCAGGACUGGAGGAGGAGUUAAAAAGAGGCAACUCCAGUCAGAUGGUGGCAACCUUGGGAAGGGAACAGACUGCUGAGCUUCUCCAGCCCUGGAGAGAGGACUGGCAGCCUGCAAAGUCCUGCCUGUGCAGAAGGAGGGUGAAGAGCCCCUGAGCUGAAGGGGAAAAUAACGGAGGCUUGCACUGGAGCCCAGUGCACUCUGAAGGGGACACUGACACUCCCAGGGCCCCUCUGAAGUAAGAGAGGCCCAUAUCCUGGUGGAAGCUGCUUACUGGCUUUUCUUUACCUUUCUUUUGCUUAACCCCUUUUGCUGACUAUAAGCUGUUUGGUGGCAUCAGGGGGACACAGAGAGGGGACUAGACAGUCAAGAGGCCCCAGUCAUAAGGAAGAAGAGCCAAUCAUCACAGAAACAGCUAGGACAUCCAGCUGAGCGUUUGCCUGAGUGAGCAUCAAGAGACUUCCACCAUCUUGAACUGUAAUUAGCUGAGAGCAGCACAGCGGUUCUCCCCAGAGAAGUUGAACCAGAUCCAGAAAGUACUGUACAUCUAAUCUUUUCCAGUUUGGGAUCCUACCCAGAACCUAAAGAAUAGGAGUGAGUUCGGCUCUAACACCCACCUCCCCUUCUCCCAAACUCUGCAUGAUGAGAGUUGCAGAACGCUCUCAACUUCCAUUCACAUCCCUGGGAGUUGAAGGCACAUUGCAGGAUCAGAUUUGUGACGGCAGGCUGUGGUGACCAGGAAGAGCUAUCACAGGAAGCCAUCUGUACAAAGCUAGCCUAUCAAUGUGCUGUUUGCUGUUGUGGGUCUACAGGAAGCCAGCCAUACAGGAAGUCAAGUCAGGCCAGCUGCAUUCUCAAACAUGAUUCUGUCCCUGACAGUUUUCUCCUUGACAUUGUCUAUAAAUGACACUUGGGAGGAAGGCGUUGUUGAUGGGAAUUCCACUUGAAGUAGACAUAAAUAUAAAAAUACAAUGAUGCCCUUUUCCUGGGCAGAGGAAUUUUUUUCCAUGCAGAAAUUUAUGCUUUAGUCGUUCGGUUAAUUCACAAGAAUACAGAGGAAAAAAAUAGGAUCAGUUUUCUGGGGUAAAAGAGACACAGAAACUGAGACAAGAAGGUUGUUUGGAUAGGGAGGAGUGAAGUCCACCAAGGACCCUCAACUCAUGGGAAAACAACAAUGCAGAAGACUCCGAUCAGAUCCCAAUGGAGAGUCCUUGCUCUGUGCCACCGAAGAAAGUGGGCCAACCCCAGGUCUCCUGCUUGGAAUUAACGAUGUAUUUUCCAGGGCUAAAUAAUGACUAUUCUCUUGCUGCCCUCAAUUGUUCCUACUAUGGUGGGCAGGAAAAUGCUAGGGAAUUAUGUGUUGAGAAUGAAAACAGUUAAAUUGUUCACAACUAUGGUGAGAACAAAACAUAUCAAGGAAAAUAUCCCAACUUGUAAAUAUUUUUCCCAGUUCCAGGUUAUCUGCUGUUUAAUUACUGUGCUUUUUGUCUUGUAAAAAUCUUCAGAAAAUCCUCAGAACAAAUAUUAAUAGAAAAACAUAUUCGUUCAGAAUCAAAUACCCUGUUUACAUUUAUCUCAUAUUGAUUAUAAAUCAAGAGGAUUCUGUAAUCAUUUUUGUCAAAACAGUGUAGCCAAGAGGAAUAGAAGGAUUAUGGCUUUAGCGUUCCUAGCAUUUUUCUUUAUAUCAUCUGAAAGUGACUAAAAGAAAUCCACUCUUUGUACAGAACACGAAUUUGUAAACUGAAAGGAUGUAAUUUAUGCAAUAUUUAUCUUAGAAAGGAAACAAAGAUGUAUUUCCCCCAAAAGCUCAUUUUAGCUAUACCUACUACUGCUGUGUGCAUCAGGUGGCUGCAUAUUGGUUACAUCCUAUUUUAGGACACAGGCUGUGGUGCAAAGUAUUUGUUCCCUAAUAUAGUCAAUAAGAGUUAAGGGGAUUAGGAAUUCAGAAAAUAAGAAGGCAUUGAAAACAUCUCUGAUUCUGAAAUGGAAAAUCCGAAAAAAAGUGAUUCCCUAUUAAAUAGUAACAUUAACUAUCUUUCUGCCAAGGUGUCACACUAAGGUGGCAUUAAUGACCUACUGGCUUCCUGGCUGCAGAACAACAGUCAUAUGUGUAGGAGAAAUUGUGGAACAAACUCAAUCAGGGCAGAAAUGAGGAAGGAAACAACUUGUUAAAUCAUUUUAUUUUCUAAGCUCACACUGUUCCUUACAAAUAGAGACUUAGAAUCGGAGCUGAUUACAGUGCAAUGAUUUGAUUAAAAGAGAGGGGAGAGAGAUCGAGAGGGAUCGAGAGAGAGAGAUCUAACAGAGCGAUUUCUAUCAGUUUCAAAGAGUACCCUGAUCUUGCAUUUCAUUUUGCAUAGCGGGAUCAGGAAUUCUAAAGGGCAUUUAUCUUUAAAUCUGUACGGAUUAGAUACUGACCUCAGUGGUACUAGUGUAACUCCACUGGCUUCACACUGCACAUUUGGAAUUAUUCCAAAUUUACAUUAGUGUAACUGAGUGCAGUAUUUGACACAAACGAAUCAACAGAGGGGUUGUUUUGAACCUAGCUUGUACAUUGCUAGUUUCUCUUCUUGGGGGUUAUACAACAUUUGUUGAUAAUUUACACUGCAUUUCAACCCUACAUAUUCAUCCAUCACAUUUACUGUUUGCAAUCCAUAGUUUAAAGUUAAUGGACUAAACUCUGCUCUCAGUAGAACUUUUGGAAUGCCAUUGAGAUCUAGGUACUGAGACCAUCACUCCUUUUGCAGCUCCUGACAAAUCUGGGCACCUCUGUACUUUUGCAGAAGGUUAAAGCAACAUUUCUUUUGUAUUACCCAGUAAUCUUUAUGCUGGGUGGUAAAUGUACAGUAAAUGUACAGGACUGUCAUUCACCACAUAGGUUGCUGAACAGUCUUCAGAGUACAAUGACUUUCAGUUACUACCAGCCUAGAGCAGAUUUGAAUCAGUGAUCUAGAGGUGAAA